AGUCAUCAACCCACGCCGUUUGAAACGGUAUGCGUGUUGGAGCUGGGGGCCUUGCUGCCGAGAGGUGGCUCCCCUCAAAUGCAUCGGUUGGGCCUGUGGGUCGAACUCGAUUGGGUGUUGUAUUAUCCUCGCUCUAACGAGAUGUUCCCCUCCUUUGUGCCCCUCCACGACCUGCCUUCAUGAGCGGCAGGUCAAGCAAAACUUUGAAA
rnacentral:misc_RNA from 1 species